GAUGAAGAACGUAGCGAAAUGCGAUAAGUAAUGUGAAUUGCAGAAUUCAGUGAAUCAUCGAAUCUUUGAACGCACAUUGCGCCCCCUGGCAUUCCGGGGGGCAUGCCUGUCCGAGCGUCAUUUCUGCCCUCCAGCCCGGCUGGGUGUUGGGCGCUGUCCCCCCGGGGACACGCCCCAAAGGCAGUGGCGGCGCCGCGUCGGGUCCUCGAGCGUAUGGGGCUUUGUCACCCGCUCGGGACGGACUCGUCGGCGCUGGUCUUCCUCCAGGCGACCCUUCGGGGCUCGUCUUCCUUCGGUUGACCUCGGAUCAGGUAGGGUUACCCGCUGAACUUAAGCAUAUCAAUAAGCGGAGGA
rnacentral:misc_RNA from 1 species